UACGAAGGGGGCAAGCGUUAUCCGGAAUUAUUGGGCGUAAAGAGCUCGUAGGCGGUUUGUCGCGUCUGCUGUGAAAUCCCGAGGCUCAACCUCGGGUCUGCAGUGGGUACGGGCAGACUGGAGUGCGGUAGGGGGAGAAUGGAAUUCCUGGUGUAGCGGUGGAAUGCGCAGAUAUCAGGAGGAACACCGAUGGCGAAGGCAGGUCACUGGGCCGCAACUGACGCUGAGGAGCGAAAGCAUGGGGAGCGAACAGG
rnacentral:rRNA from 1 species